rnacentral:tRNA from 1 species
GAGGGUAGAGCUCAGUGGCAGAGCACAUGCUUAGUAUGCACGAGGUCCUGGGUUCAAUCCCCAGUACCUCCA